AUUCAGGGGUAGUUGGUAGUUACAGGAACGUUAGAUUGAUGCUAAUGCAGGAGAAAAAUGGGGUGUACUCACGUUUGUGAGAUACUGUAUAUACACUCACCUAAAGGAUUAUUAGGAACACCAUACUAAUACUGUGUUUGACCCCCUUUCGCCUUCAGAACUGCCUUAAUUCUACGUGGCAUUGAUUCAACAAGGUGCUGAAAGCAUUCUUUAGAAAUGUUGGCCCAUAUUGAUAGGAUAGCAUCUUGCAGUUGAUGGAGAUUUGUGGGAUGCACAUCCAGGGCACGAAGCUCCCGUUCCACCACAUCCCAAAGAUGCUCUAUUGGGUUGAGAUCUGGUGACUGUGGGGGCCAUUUCAGUACAGUGUACUCAUUGUCAUGUUCAAGAAACCAAUUUGAAAUGAUUCGAGCUUUGUGACAUGGUGCAUUAUCCUGCUGGAAGUAGCCAUCAGAGGAUGGGUACAUGGUGGUCAUAAAGGGAUGGACAUGGUCAGAAACAAUGCUCAGGUAGGCCGUGGCAUUUAAACAAUGCCCAAUUGGCACUAAGGGGCCUAAAGUGUGCCAAGAAAACAUCCCCCACACCAUUACACCACCACCACCAGCCUGCACAGGCAUGAUGGAUCCAUGUUCUCAUUCUGUUUACGCCAAAUUCUGACUAUACCAUCUGAAUGUCUCAACAGAAAUCGAGACUCAUCAGACCAGGCAUCAUUCUUCCAGUCUUCAACGAUACAAUUUUGCAGGACAAUGCUCCAUGCCACACAGCCAGGUCAAUCAAGGUGUGGAUGGAGGACUACCAGAUCAAGACCUCGUCAUGGCCAGCCCAAUCUCCAGACCACAAGCCAUCAAACAAAGCUGAGCUACUUGACUUUUUGUGCCAGGAGUGGCAUAAAGUCAACCAACAAUGUGACAGUCUGGAGGAGAGCAUGCCAAGAUGCAUGAAAGCUGUGAUAAAAAUCAGGGUUAUUCAUCCAGAUACUGAUUUCUGAACUCUUCCUAAAUUAAAACAUUAGU
ensembl:lncRNA